CAAACCCUAACCCUAGUCCUAAUUCGACCUUUCUCUCUCAGCAGAGCCACCCCGAGCAGUAUCCGGCGGUUCAGGAUCCCACUGCAAUGCGUCAGCAUCAGGGAACCGGCCUCUCCGGAGAUGGAGGCGAGGAUGAAUCAUUUUCUUCUUCUCCAAAUCAUCACACUGUUCAAAGCCCUAAUUCUAAUCUUCGUGAAGUUGUAUCUUAUUCGACAUCCUCUAUACCGUCUCUUCUCCAUAUUUCCUUCAAUCAGGACCACGGUUGCUUCGCCGCGGGCACGGAUAACGGCUUCCGGAUCUAUAAUUGCGACCCGUUCCGCGAGAUUUUCCGGCGAGACUUCGACCGCGGCGGAGGAAUUGGCGUCGUGGAGAUGCUAUUCCGGUGCAACAUCCUGGCCCUGGUUGGCGGCGGACCUGAGCCGCAGUAUCCGCUCAACAAAGUCAUGAUUUGGGAUGAUCACCAAAGCCGGUGCAUUGGAGAGCUGUCAUUCCGAUCGGAGGUCCGAGCAGUUAAGCUCCGGCGGGACCGUAUCAUAGUGGUCUUGGAACAGAAGAUUUUCUUGUACAACUUCGCGGACUUGAAGCUGUUACAUCAGAUUGAGACGAUUGCAAAUCCCAGGGGGCUUUGCGCGGUUUCGCAGCUCACUGCGUCGCUUGUGUUGGUGUGUCCAGGGUUGCAGAAGGGGCAGGUCAGGGUCGAGCAUUACGCUUCGAGGAGGACCAAGUUCUUCGCGGCCCAUGAUUCUAGACUUGCGUGUUUCGCGCUCACUACGGACGGCCAAUUGCUCGCCACUGCAAGCACCAAAGGAACUCUGGUUAGAAUUUUCAAUACUUCCGAUGGCACACGGCUGCAAGAGGUACAUUAUAUGCCCUUUUUCAGUUCUGCGCUUUGAGGAGUGAACUUGAAAUUUUGAUGAUUCUGUAAAUGGGCCAUAGGCUAUUGAUAUUUUGAUGUUUCUCUAUUAGGGUUAUUAUAAAAGUAGUAUUCCCAAUUUCCCGAUUUUAGGUUUCUUGUUGAAAUAGAUUGUGAAGUAUAAUUCAUUUAGCCAUGUCCCUUCUUUUUCCUCUACUUCUUGUGGAGACCACAGCAGGCACAGUUGACGUACAACCUCAAUUUGGAUAGCUGUUGUUGUUAGCAAACAGUUCAAAGUGUGACUGGUUUUUGUAGUUAUCAUGCUAGGAUCACCUUCAAUCUCAAUUGAGAACAACGGAAAAUGUCUUCACACAAUAAUAACCUGCCGUGUAAGUAUCGAUUGAAGGUUAAUCCUUUCUGGGAUUCAUAGCCAUAAAUGAAGCUUGAAUAGUACUCUGCGUUGCAAGAAACAAGUAUAAAUGAACUUCCUUUGUCUACUUGUGGAUUAAUCUAAUGAACCAAUUUUUCUGAACUGCAGAGGAGCUCUUGUUUAUGUUAGAAACUCAUAUUACUUGCUAUUCGAUACUUAUUCUACCAUUCAUCUUUCUGCAAGAAUUUGACAUGUAUCAUAGAUUUAAAUUAAUUGAAUAUCUAAUGUAGGUGCGGCGGGGAGCAGAUAGAGCUGAGGUUUACAGUAUGGCAUUCUCUUCAACUGCCCAGUGGCUAGCAGUAUCAAGUGACAAGGGCACUGUCCAUGUUUUUGGGCUUAAGGUUAACUCAGGAUCCUUAGGAAAUGACAAGUCCCAUGGUGCAUCUGAUGCCAAUCUUGCUGUUGCAUCAUCCGGCUUAUCUCUUUCUUUCAUCAAGGGUAAGGUGCCUUUUCUAGAAUAUGACUUGAGGCUGACCAUUUUUCUUGAUUUUGAAUAAACAGGUCAAUUGAGUUAUAAAUAUGUGAGGUUGGGAGGCUAAUUAUACCGACUCAAGCAAAAUGCCAAACUCUAUUAAAUGGGUUGCACAAGGCUGUAUGAUAAUUAGGUUGUGUUUAAUUUCAUUGUUUUAACCUAAUUAUCAUUCAUGUCAUGUUUUUCUUAUGUCGAAUAACUAGUUUUGACACAACAUGAACAUGAUCUAGUAACACGAAUUGACACCCCUGGCUAUUAUGUGAAUAUGCAUACGCAAAGUUAAAAUAGGCUUCACUGCUUGAUCUCCAUGGUUCCAAGACCACAUAUUGGAUGGAACUUUAAUAAUACAGUUUUGUUUUUGAUAAGCAAAACUGUAUUAUCAUCGGGCCUUGUAUGUGUACUCUUGAAUGCAACUGUAUCCACUUCUCUCCUUUUGAAUGCAACUGCUUUCUCUUGGUUCCUGUUACUGGAUGGUGCUUACUAGAGUAUCAACUAAUGGAAGUGAAGAAUAGGAGAGAUUAGGCCAUGGGGUUCAGGAUUCUAUUUAUUUAUUUAUCAGUUUUUGGAUAAUCAUCAUGGGCAUGUCUAUUGCGUUUCUUAUUGAACAGAAGCUUUGAAGUUCUAUCCUUUUGAUUCUAAUUCUGACUAGGUUUUCAUGUGCAGGAGUGCUGCCCAAGUAUUUCAGCUCUGAGUGGUCGGUUGCUCAGUUCCGCCUUCAUGAGGGUUCUCAGUAUAUUGUUGCAUUUGGUCAUCAGAAGAACACAGUGGUAAUUCUGGGAAUGGAUGGAAGGUAAGAGAUAUUCUUAACAGAAGUUUGUGAGAAGAGUUGAUCUGAAAUGGAAUCAUGAUAAGCAAUUGAAUUGAAUUUGAAUGCAGCUUCUAUAGAUGUCAGUUCGAUCCUGUGACUGGGGGAGAGAUGACACAGCUGGAGUAUCACAACUUCCUUAAACCAGAAGAAGCUUUCUAAUGGAGAUCUAGGAUAUUAUCUGCAUGCCCAAUUUCCUAGCUAUAUAUGACAUCCCUCUCUCUCUGGGUCUUUGUGCCCUUUGUCCCCUUUUCCCCUUCUAGGUGUGGCCUAUGGGUCCAUUAUGGUGUAAAUAUACGAGUAUAGAUAGGUCAAAGUUUAAGACUAAUUUACCAUUAACAAGGAAAAAUGAAAUUUAAUGAAAAAAAAAAAAAAGAAGAGAGAUUAGUACUCAUUUUUCAUACUUGUCUUCAUAUUUGCCAUUGUGUGGACGGGUUUAUUUGGACAACCUUUUUUUAUAAUUUAGAUUACCAACCUUCCUUAUUUAAUAUCAACCAAAAAAAUAUUUUAUACAAUAUUCUUUAUAAAAAACGAGACUUUUCUAUAAUCUUGAGGCAAAUUCCAUUAUACCAUAAAUGGAAUUUGCCUAUUUAUCAUGCCUAUAUCUAUGAAUGAGAAAAAUCAUUUCAUUAUACCAUAAAAUCAAAUGCAAUUAUCAAAACACCUAAUGUUUCUCCACUUCUUAUAUCCACCGUAAACUAUGAGCCUCCUACUCUACUUGGUAUAUCUUUAUCCAAUUUAAAUAGUUUUUAAAUAUUAAUCUUUAUUCCAUAAUUUUUUCCUCCCCUAACCUAAAAUAUUUAUAAUGAUAUUCUUAACAAUUUUUUUAUUAUAUAUAAUAAAAUCUAAUAUUACAAUAAUAUAUUAAAAGUCCUCACUCCAUCACAAUACUUAAUUUUUUUCUAAGCAAUUAAUUCUCUAUUCUUUCGAUUUUUUUGCUUUUAACUACCAUUGGGCAAUUACAUUUUUAAAUAUAAAUUUCAAAGUACACGUUUAUUAGAAUCCUGUUAAGAAAUACAAAACAUGUUGUGGACCCCGCGUUUCGAUCUAUCUCAAUGCGUUUCCCACUCAAUGGCGAGCUCGAUUUUUAUUUUAUUAGAAAAAAUGAUUUUUAUCGAUUAAGAAAAUGACUUGGAGUCGCCACUUAUUUUUGUUUUAUUAUUAAAGGGUAAACAAAAUAAGAAAGAAAAACCCUAAGUGUGACUCCUUAUUUUGGAAAAGGCGGUCUGUGAAAAACCGGAUCGGGUUCGGGGGUCAGGUUACUUCUCGGGAAGGUAUGGUAAAGACCGUAGCACCCCUCUAAGUCCCUAAAGUCGGGUCUCUACUAAUAAAAUGAAGCUGACAUGACAACCAAUGAGAAAGUCAAUGAAUACCUAGGACGAAUCAUGCACAUACGAGAAUUAAAACAUGCAAAUAAAAUGAUUAGGAUGCGAGUGGAUGUGUACCUGGACCGUGAACGAUCAAUGCGCUAUCAUAAAACAGGGUUAGUGAGCAAUGAACAAAAUAUAAUUAAGCGCAUAACAUGGAACAAAAUAAAUCAAACACGCACGAUAAGUAAAUCAAUCAAACAAUCAAUCAAUCGUCAAUUCACAUAUGUGGGGCCCCCACCAAAGCCCGUUUAUUUUUGCAUGAAUUAAUUCCAUAAUUUCCAUUAUUCGGAGUUACAGAAUUGAAUCUAUGCUUAUUUUUAAAACAUUUUAAAAGAUCAUGAAAGAUUUAAAAAAAUUGCUUGCCGAAUAGAAAAUGGAAGCAAAUUUUAUUAAAAAGAGAUUUCAAGUGAUUCUAAAAAAAAACCUAAAGGUGAAAAUUAAAAAUAAAUAAAUAAAUAAAUUAUUUGAUAAAAAUGGAGUUUGGAAAAUUAACAAAGAAACUAGAAAUCGGGAAAUUAUGUGGAAAAUGGGAGUUUUAGGACUUAAAAAUAAAUCUAAAGAUGAAAAUUCGAAAAGCAAAAAUUGUUUGAAGGAUUUGGAAAUUUGACAUUAUAAAAAAAAAACAAUUGGAGGGAUUAUUAAUAAAAUGAUGUUCAGGAAAAUUAAUUUGGAAAUCAUAGGAACAGGAAGUGGGUGAUAACACGUGGCUUCCGAUUUACUGCCAUUGCCACUAUACCCACCAUAGUCACCAAGCCCAUAGUCAAUGCCUCCAAGUGCUCGGUAGGAAAUAGGCCCAAAACACUAAGACGUGCCCCAGAGUUAGAGAAGAUGCUGGAGAGAUCUUUGAUCAAGCCACUUCACCAGAUUUAUGGCGAUAGAUCUUUCCGAAGACAUGAAGAACGGUGACAAAGCCGAUAAAGCAAAGGUUCAUCACGAGAACCACCGUUGGAGUAAUCUUCAAGCCCGGAUCGUCAUCGGUGUAGAACAAGAGCAUGUUGCUCUCGCUGCUGCCACUGCCGCACCCUCCGGAGCUCUGAAACGACAGUGCGUGUGAGGAGAUUGACAACGACGCCGUCGAAGACAACCGGUCUACAUAACCCUCCAACAAGCUUCGUCCUGAAGCUACUUCUGCCGCGGUGCUUUCCACAUGUCGUCCAUACAUCCAGUGACCCGAAUCAGCGCCACCUCGUCCUCAACUCCAACGCAGCUGAAUCUCACGCUGCUGUCCAGUUUGACCUGCGUCGGAAAGAACGACGUUGGGGGCCACGCAGGCAUCGACGGUGAUCUUCGGGAGCCACUGCCCCAGGGGAAUUAUCCUUCUCCGUCCUUUUUUUGAGCCUUCAACACUUUCUACAGCAAAAGUCUCCUCAACUUUUGAUGGCCCCCACAUGUACCAGUUGAGGCUAUUUUAUGAAUUUCNNNNNNNNNNNNNNNNNNNNNNNNNNNNNNNNNNNNNNNNNNNNNNNNNNNNNNNNNNNNNNNNNNNNNNNNNNNNNNNNNNNNNNNNNNNNNNNNNNNNAUUCAAAACAAGAUGUCCAAUACUCCAAAAGAACACCAAAAAAACAGAGAAGAAAGUGAAGAAAACAGAGUGCGUGCAAGAGAUGAUAAUACCAUUAAACCAAACUUUACUUCAUGAAGAUCGGAGAGCUUAAAACAAUCUGGUGGGUUAAGUGAAUGGUUUUAACACAUAAACAAACAACAUCGACACCAUGUGACUCACACAGGAAUAAACAAAAAUCAAGCAAGCAGGGAUGAAAACAUGCUUAAGAUCUUAAACAGUCAAAAUGAACAUUUCAAAUAUUAGGAAAGGAGUCAAAUAUGGUUGUGAAAAGGAAAAACCUGAAGUCGAAGACAACCAAAAUUUGGAUGACUCCUUUUCUCUCUGUGACUGAAAUCCCACCUUCUCGUUCUACUCCCUGAGCUGAGAACUCUCCUCUCAACUCCAAACUCACUCCAGACCAGCCUCUCUUCACUCUCCCCCUCCUCUCUGACUCUCUCUCUCUAGCUAAACUCCUCUAAGCCUUCCCUCCUCCUCAAAAUAUCUCUAACGGACUCUGAAAAGCACUCCCUACUCCAGCUGCCAGAGACGCUCCUCCAUUCACGGCUUCCAGAUUCCCAUGCAACGUGUCCCCUUUUGAUUGGCUUCCCAAACCACUAUUAUGAUUCUCUCAUGGCUUCUCAGGUGUUGACACGUGGCUGACCAAGGCUCUUCCACAUGGUAAAAUUGAGCUGCAAGGUAGGAAUGACCUAAAAGGGGGUCUACAAAUAUGCCCCUCUUCGGUAGAGUUCACGAGUGUAAAGAACAUGAACACUGGAGUGAAAAGUAAGUGUGAAUAGUGAGUGGAAUGAAGUGAACUCUACCGAAGAACCAAGGAGACCCCCAUAGAGACACUAGUGAGAUAUAAACUCACUCAGACUAACAGAUAAACAACGAGGCUCUAAUCCUAAAAGGAAAUGAUGUCUCAAAAAUGCCUCUGCAGCCACACUAAGGAUCCAAGCUCCCUCUAAGACGUCUCCAAAAGUGACUCGAAGAUCAAUGUCAAAGAUGAGUAACAGUCGAACCACCCUAGAGUACAAGAAAGAAUGUGCCCGAAGGAAACUACCCUAUGUGAACUACAUGAGAAGACUAGGUGUAGGGUGCCCAACAACAUGACAAAAAUACGCAUCACGGAAUCAAAGAACUAUGUCAUGUGCAAUGGAAUGGGAAGUCUAGAAGAGCAAUGACGAUCAAGCAAUGAGCUCCAGGUAACUGAGUGAGGAAAAUGACUCUGAAAAACCAAAAUGGAGGAAUAAUGGCGACUCAGAAUGCAAAGAAGACUCAACUAUGCAGGUGUGACUCGAAGGUGAACAAGACUCAACUCAAUCCGACAAAACAAUGACCGAUCGAUAUAGGUGCGGUCCCGACUCAAACUGAACUGAUAGGAAGAUGGUCGAUCGAUAUAGGUGCGGCCCAGACUCAAACUGACGUGAUGAAUGACCGAUCGAUAUAGGUGCGGUCCCGACUCGAACUGAACUGAUAGGAAGAUGGCCGAUCGAUAUAGGUGCGGCCCCGACUCAAACUGACAUGAUGAAUGACCGAUCGAUAUAGGUGCGGUCCCGACUCGAACUGAACUGAUAGGAAGAUGGCCGAUCGAUAUAGGUGCGGCCCCGACUCAAACUGACAUGAUGAAUGACCGAUCGAUAUAGGUGCGGUCCCGACUCUAACUGAACUGAUAGGAAGAUGGCCGAUCGAUAUAGGUGCGGCCCCGACUCAAACUGACAUGAUGAAUGACCGAUCGAUAUAGGUGCGGUCCCGAAACUAAACUGAUAGAAAGAUGGCCGAUCGAUAUAGGUGCGGCCCCGACUCAAACUGACAUGAUGAAUGGCCGAUCGAUAUAGGUGCGGUCCCAGAAACUAAACUGAUAGGAAGAUGGCCGAUCGAUAUAGGUGCGGCCCCGACUCAAACUGACAUGAUGAAUGACCGAUCGAUAUAGGUGCGGUCCCAGAAACUAAACUGAUAGGAUGAAUGACCGAUCGAUAUAGGUGCGGUCCCAGAAACUAAACUGAUAGGAUGAAUGACCGAUCGAUAUAGGUGCGGUCCCAGAAACUAAACUGAUAGGAUGAAUGACCGAUCGAUAUAGGUGCGGUCCCAGAAACUAAACUGAUAGGAAGAUGGCCGAUCGAUAUAGGUGCGGCCCCGACUCGAACUGAACUAAUAGGAAGAUGGCCGAUCGAUAUAGGUGCGGCCCCGACUCAAACUGACAUGAUGAAUGACCGAUCGAUAUAGGUGCGGUCCCAGAAACUAAACUGAUAGGAUGAAUGACCGAUUGAUAUAGGUGCGGUCCCAGAAACUAAACUGAUAGGAAGAUGGCCGAUCGAUAUAGGUGCGGCCCCGACUCAAACUGACAUGAUGAAUGACCGAUCGAUAUAGGUGCGGUCCUAGAAACUGAACUGAUACGAAGAUGGCCGAUCGAUAUAGGUGCGGCCCCGGAUUCUAACUGAACUGAUAGGAAGAUGGCCGAUCGAUAUAGGUGCGGCCCCGACUCAAACUGACACGAUAAUGACCGAUCGAUAUAGGUGCGGCCCCGACUCGAACUCAAACUGAUAAGAUGAAUGACCGAUCGAUAUAGGUGCGGUCCCGACUCAAACUGACACGACGAAUGACCGAUCGAUAUAGGUGCGGUCCCGACUCGAACUGAACUGAUAGGAAGAUGGCCGAUCGAUAUAGGUGCGGCCCCGGACUCUAACUGACACUGAUGAUGAUGAAUGACUUGGUCAAGUGACCCAAAACCAAAGGAUGACUCAGAUAAUAAUGCAAACAAACUCGAUCGGAGGGGAUAUGCCCCAGUAUGACAACUCAUGCGGAUCGACAACUAGGUCGACAGAUAAUGAAGCCUGUGAAAGGUCCGAUGAUCUCGGAGAAGGAGGGUAUGCCCCAGUAUGCAACUCAAGGGAAUCAACAACUAGAUCAAAAGUGAGUGAAACCGGUGGAAGGUUCAAUGCUCUCGGAGAAGGGGUAUGCCCCAGUAUGCAAUGACGAACAGACAGAGAUGCAAAAUGCCUCAAAACUACUGUACUCUGAAAUAUGCUCAUCCAUCAUGUAAUGAAAAUGUCCAACCUCAAAUAGGUAAUGCCAAACAGGACUAUGUAUAGUGAUACCAUGCUGACUAAACAGAAAUGACUGACGAAUAAAAACAAUGAUGACCAAUGCCCGAAAUGUGAAAAACAAGCAAAUCAACACUCAACAUGCCAACUGUCAAAAUGAAAGCAUCAACACUAAUAAGUCAGCAAUCUGUCAGGCCCUGCCAUCAUGGAAGAUGUUGAACCUAAAGUCCAAAAGAUAUAUGAAAGCACAACCAAGGUGAUCGAGGACUGAUCUACAUCUCCUCAUAAUCGAGAAAGGGGUGAGGUCAUGUGCCAUGGUAAGAUGUGAAGGAUAAAAGAAGGUGAUGGUCAGGCUCCGGUAUGAGAGAAGGUAUGAAAGUAUCCAUGGUGAAACGUCUGAGUAUGAAAUGAAAGGUAGGGAGAUAUCCGAGAUCAUCCAAGUAUGCCGAGAAGACUAAACCCAAGGUGUCGAUAACUCCAUAACCCAUCGUAAGUAGCAAUCACAAACAGGAAGUCAAGCCUCAAUGUCAAAACCUCCAACAAGGUGGCUAUGCCCCAGUAUGCAAUGAGGACAACAUGAAAUAAUCCAAUGAUCUCCCUAUCACUCGUCAGGUGCUCCAAUGUCAAGAACCAAUAUGAUCUCCCUCCAAAAGAUGGACAUGCCCCAAUGUAAAGGAUCCAAAUAGGGUGGCUAUGCUCCAAUGAAAAAUGCUCUCCGUCCCGGCUAUGCCCCAGUGUAAAGUAGUGUAUCCGAGUCAGCAAAUCAAUCAACCUCUACUCCCGGUGCCAAAACGGAAACAUCUCAACAUAAUCCAUAUGAAUCAGAAUCCCCGGGCUCCAUGAAUGUGAAUGCGGUGGCUAUGCCCCAGUAUAAACCAACUGAAGUGACUAUGCUCCAAUGACCAAUCAAAGUCCAUCACCAAUGAGAGGGCUACGCCUCAAAUAAAAUCGUCAUCUCAAAAACCAACCAUCGAUGAGUAGAGUGUGUCCCAAUGCAGAGUAUCGAGUAGAGCGACCGUAUCUCCAAUAAAAACGCCCUCUGAAAUGGCUAUGCCCCAGUAUAGGGUCAUCCCACAACUCCUGAUCCAUCGUAAUCCAAGUGAAGAAGCGAACUGACUAUGCCUCAGUGCAAGGCACCAUCCAGAAAGAAAAUGUCAUCAAUGAGCGGGGUAUGCCCCAGUGUAGAUAACGUCGCCUCUGAAAGUCCAUCACCGAUAAGAGGGGUAUGCCCCAGUGUAAAUCAUCAUCUCAACUCCACAUCCAUAAUGCUCUGAGAGAUAAUCACCGACCAAGCUCGAGUAUUGCCCAUGUGUGAGCCGUCAAACACAAUGUGAAGUAAUGGCCUCAGGGUGGUCUUCAGACAUGGGACGUAACGUAGGGCAAGGUAAUAGGGUGAAAGAAACGAAAGGAAACUAGGCUAAAAAAUCCCAAUGAUACAAUCCCCAUACCCCUCGUGCAUGAUAUGCAAUGCGCAGAAAAUGUCAUGAGUCCCGGACCUAGGGGUCCCCACACGAAAAGUGAUGAUAAAUGAAUGGAUACAUCGAAUAAGCAAGAAUAAAGUGUGGAUGCUGAACCCAUGUCAAACAUCAAACAGAAUGAGAAUAGAAUGAGAUAAGAUGAAAUGGAGUGAAACGGAGGGAUAAAAUAAAGAUGAAAGAAGGCGAAGAGAUAGAAAAAUGAGUGAUGGUCAACCUGCAUCAAAGCAUGGAAAGUAGUCACAUCCGAAAUAGACGGAAUGAUGGAUAGAGCAAGGAUCCAGAGAUACAGAAGAAAAGUCGCUCGCAUCUCUCACAAAAAACGAAUGGGCGAAUCAUACUCUCACCCAAAAUAUACAUCAAGAUGAAUCUAAAAAAUAAGCUUUCAUACGAGCUCUCUCUAUCAUAUGAACUCAAUGAAACAACUUGGCACGUCCAUACACAUGCCUGAUGAAGAAUGAUACAAUGAAUAAUGCGCUAUCAUCAAUCAAUUUUUUUAUUUUUUUAUUUUAUUAUUUUUUUAUUUUUUAUUUUUUUUUUAUUUUUUUAUUUUUUUUAUUUUUAUUUUUUUUUUAUUUUUUUAUUUUUUUUAUUUUUUAUUUUUUUUUAUUUUUUUGCGCGUACGCUGAUCAAUAGUGAAUGAACUCCCAUGAAAAUACAUACCCAAAUGAAUAAACUCUCUCCAUGUACUGAUGUAACAUGAAUCCUCACUAACAAGACAACCUCUCAAAUAAGAUCCCUGGACCAUUGCCCAUAAGGCGAACGGGGGAGGAACGUGACAAUCCUCCAUGCAGUGACGUGUGAAAAACCACCACUCAAGGUGAAACACGGAUAAUGUCGAGUAAGCGAUGAUGAAAGAAAAGACAGAGAACGAAUAUCACAAGUGGUGAUAUAUGAUAUAAGAAAAAUAGUGAUGAAAUGAUGUCCAAGUGGAAAAUAUCACAGUGAAAAGUGAAGAAUGAUGCCUGAAUAUGUAUGUCAGGUUUGGAACUCAUGACGUAUCCAAUCAUAGCAUGCAAGCGCUACAGGGUCCCUAACCCGGUGUAAUAGGUAAAUGAGGUGAUGAAAGAAAAGGCUAUGUGCUCGUGUGAAGCUCAAAGGGCUAGCAAUGGAUAACUCUAUAUGUGAGGGUGAUAAAGUAAAUAGGCUCAUGAAAUGAUGGCCACCCAUCCUUUAACCACAACCUCGAACAUCGUGCUUUUGAGAUCUCACAUGGUCAAUACUAAAGACUGGCAUCCAUCCAACAUAGUCAUGGCGACUCAUCUGAAAUCGCGUAAAAGCCCUCACUGAUGCUCUGUGAUAACCGUCAAUAUCCUCGGAUAAUCACCUCACUCUAUCAUCAUAAUCCACUCACCAUCGUCUCAUAAAAUCACCAUCUCUAAUCAUCCCGACUCUCUGAAGUCAUGUGCAAUGACUCAAAUCUGGAUGCUCCAUGACGUCUCCUCUACCUCAACAACAUCGUCAAACAAUCAAGCCACUCUCUCAUCAUGAUCCAUCUAUCAUCGUGUAAAGCUCACCUCGGGUCUAACCAUCUCGGACUCUACCUGGUCAGAUCCAUGAAAUGAUGGAAAGGAUAGGCAAUGGUACUGUAGCCUGAUAAGGCGAACAGGGAUGGUAAAGUCGUACAGUAAUACCAAAGGGUGGUGUCAUGUCAGGCUCAAAAUGGGUAGGUCAUCAAGUCUGAAAAGGCUAAGGUAUGGAUGUGGGUAUGGUACCACUCUAAUCAGAAGGUGAAAUGGGUCACAGCCUCAAACUCCCUAGGUCGAUCUCCUGAUCCUAGGUCAAUAGACUCAAUAUCCUCCAUGAUAGGUCAGACCCAAGUGAUCGUGAUGUAAGUGAAAGAUGUAUCAUAUCGAAAGCAUAACACGCAUCAACGCAAGAUAUGUAAAACACACUCCCGAGAAAAAUGCCACAAUACUCAAGAUAAAAUAUCAUAUCACUAAAUGAACCAACGAGUACAUCAUGUGUGAAAUGGUAAAGGACUACAAACAACUGGACUCUCAACAUGAAACUAAAAACAAUGACCCUAAACCGAAAACAGGACUCAACAAAACAAAAACAACUCUGAUGAACUGAAAACUGGACUCAACAAAAUGGAAAUGAGUCUGAUGAUGACCAUAAUCAAAAUGAGAAAUGCUCUGAACUGAACUGCUACCAAGUGAUGUACCCAUGUCGACUGACCUAAGUCCUCAUCCUGGAAGAUCCCAGAGCGCCAUAUGCCAACAGUACCAUCAACAUCCAAAUCGGUCUACUGAAGACCAGGAGGAGGAGGAACUGCAUGUGUAGAAUGUGUAGGCAGGGGAUUGGUGGUCACACUUGGCCUAGCCAAGUCAACCACCCCUGAAUCGAUCAAAUCCUGUAUCGCAUGAUGGAGUGCUGAACAACGCUCAGUAUCGUGCCCCGGAAUCUGAUGAUACAAGCAAUGCUCAUGUAAACGGAAAUGAGGAGGAAUAGGAUGGGGCAAAGGCCUCGGUGCCAAAGGAACAAUCACUCCAGCGUCUCUGAGCUUCUCAAAAGCUCUAGUCAAAGUCAUACCCAACGGAGUAAACUGUCUCGCGGGCCUCUGUGCAUAUGGCCUAGGUAGCGGGUGAGUAGUGGCUCUCGGAUGUGGUGGUCGCGGCUGCACGCUAGUCUGAGCAAUGUAAGGCUCCUGAGCAUAAUCCAACUGAUACUGAUACUGUGGAAGAGAGAAAGGAGCUCUGACUGUAGGAGGCCUAUAAGCUGAGUGAAGCGCGGGCCUCCGGUGCUGAUAGCUAAUAACACCAACCUCUCCAGAUCUACCCAAUGGUCCAAUCAGCUUCUUCCCCUUACUGUCAGGGGAAGAAGUAGUAUCUGUCCAUAAUCCUCGAGCAAUGGCCUCCUCAACACUGAAAGCUGCCUGAACCAAACUCCUGAGAUCCUGAAAUGGGAUGCCCACAAGACGUCUCGCGAACCUCGGCUGUAGGUUCCGAAGAACCAUAUCAAUCUGAUCCUGCUCCUUAGGCCGGUCUACCAUACCAGCCACCUUUGCCCUCCAACGAGUGACAAAUGAAGAAAUAGACUCCUCUGGCCUCUGUCUAGUGGCCUCCAACUCUCGUCUGGAUACAUCAAUAUCGGCACUGAAAGCGAACUGAGUCAGGAACUCACGAGCCACGUCUUCCCAGGUGCGGAGUCUCGAAGGCUCAACUGAAGCAAACCAUCUCUGAGCUGCUCCACUAAGUGACAUCGGGAAGAGGGCCACCAACUGCGCAUCAUCUAUACCAUGUGCUCUCAUGACCGUGCUGUAUAGCCUCAAGUGGAUCUUGGGACAACCAAUCCCACUGUAACGCUCAAUGUCUGGCAUGCGAAACUUGGCGGGCAAGCUAGCCGCCGGUAUGCCAUCCCUGUCAUCCCAAGUCAAACCUCCGUCCUGCAAUCUGAUCUGUCUCAUCAUGGACUCAAGCCUCUCAACCUUGGCCUCCUGCUCGGCCAAUCGAGUAUCCUCAAUAGUAGGAACCAUGGGAGGCGGCACUGUGACAGUAGGUGGUGGAAUGGUCUCAUAAUGAUCUGCCAGAUGGAACGGAGUACCAAGUGAAACCCUAGGUGGACGAGUCUGUGCUGUCUGAGAUGCAUGAGGAACUGUCUCAUCAAUGACCAUGCCAACCGGCUGGGGAUCCUGGCGAGAACUCUCUAUCUGAUCCAAGCGCUUACUGACUCCGGCCAUGAACUCCUGAAUGGAAGCGAGUGUGGAAGCUAGCUCGUCUGACAUCUCAACUGAACUGUCUGAACUCAAAUAUGAAUCUGAUCUGAUCAAUCGUCCUCCAACUCUCCUCCAAGAAUGUGACUCCAGACUCAACCGACUCCUAAACUGACUUCCUACAAUGCAAACAAGAUGGAUGAAGGACAUGAGAUGAAACUCUAAAAGACGACAGUACAACAUACAAGCACAUGGUCCAGAGGUAGCAAUCAGAAAUCUGGAUAUAUGACGAGAACUCUGGAGUCAUAAAGGUGUCCACUGUGAGAUGGCUACAAAUGUGACUAGAGAAUUCCUAUCAAUAAUCCAAGAUGAAAGAGGUGUGAAAAACACACUAUCACGAGAUCGGUACUCCAUCAAUAAACAUAUACCUUUAACUCAACUUCCAACCCAAGCUCCAUAAGAGAAAAAAUGAUAGGGUGAUCAAGGCGAAUCUCUCGAAAAAAGUGUGGAUGUGAAAAUGCGCCUUUCACCUUUCCGUAAUGAAAAUAUGAGCAUCGGGUUGAAAAUUGAAUCAAGUAUCCAACGAAGAAAUGAAGUACUCAGCCCGUGAUAGGUGUACAAUGCAAAAACAAGAUGAUCAAUGAACAUAUCCCAAAGUAUCAAGUGAGUGACAACAAAGUGAAGGGGUGUGUCGAGCCAAGAAAUGAGAACGAAAUCCCUAGGGAGAAAACAUGCUAAACUCCUUGAGUAAAAAAACAUAAUCUAAGGUGACAAGGCGAAAGGUGAUCCAACCGAUACUCAAACAAAUAACGAUCUCCGAGUACUCUCAACUGGAGACUAAAAAGAGGGAAUACUGGAUCCGAACUGUAACUAAAGAGGCUCCGAAGGCCCUCAGAUGCACCCACGUGUGAGGAAGGAAGUCCUACUCGAAGGAUCUACGGCUCAACCUACGAGGUCAGGUGGCUCUAAAUGGAUAUGGGUGGACUUUAAAAAAAUCCCGAGCAGAAGCGAUCAUACCCUCCAGCGGUACGCAACCCUCUGCACACCUCAGAAAAGACGGGGCGCUUCCAUGCAAGGUGGACAUCGCAUCCACACAUGCACUACCUCGACAUCCCAAGGGGUUUCCUAUGGUGAAUUCUCUCAAACUCUCAACGCUCAAUAGUCAACUAGAGUGCACAGUAAUCGGUGUGGGUGCAUCCGAAACCCUAAGAAGAUAAAGCAGAAGAUGAGACACACUGGUCGCAUAAAUAUCCAUGAAACCUAGCUCGGGGCUAUACAGGUCUUCAAUGAUCGGACUCUAAUCGACAACAAUGCGCCGCUCGCCUCCAGAAUGCUCCCAAACAUCAGUAUAGCCCGUCGCUGGACCCUACUCCUAACCUCUAUCUCGGUCAGAGUACAAGCACACACAAGGCCUCACACUUGCAAAAGUGAGAACCGUAAUGAAGGAAGUGACCGAGACUAGAGGGUGGGAGACAAGGAGAUAGAUAUGCGACCCACAUAAACAAACGGCACACAAUCAUGCAAAAGGAGGGCAGUCAUGCGACACGCAAUCAAACAAAUCUCAGAUAUAUCAUCAAUGUACACACACAAAAUAAGCGAGAAUACGACGAUCAGAUGAAUAAUGAUACAAAGACAACACGCUUAAAGAUGAUCAAAAUAAUAUACCAACAAGUGGAUCAGCAUGUCGAGUCGAAUGAUAUACAGUGGUGAGUGUAUGCAUGUGAAGUGAUUAGAACAAUCAUGGCAAAAUCAGAGUAAAUGUGCUAAGCAAUGCAAUAUGAUCAAUCAAUAUAAAUCAGCAAUGUCGAUGUAGCAAACAUAUAUAAUCAGUGAAGCACGAAAAAUCACGGCCUCAGAAGCCUCAAUCAGGAUAAAAUCAAUCAUCAUAAUCAACAUGUCAAAAGUCUCGAACAGAUAUAAAAUCCGAGUAUACAUCAAAUAUCCUCAAUGUGCAAUCAAGAAAUGGGUACCCAUUGAUCGUCCAAUCGAAUGCCACGUUUGCUUCAUUCUAAGUUCAAGCUUGACCCUCUAAAAAAAAUCCCCAGUGGAGUCGCCAUUUUGUGGACCCCGCGUUUCGAUCUAUCUCAAUGCGUUUCCCACUCAAUGGCGAGCUCGAUUUUUAUUUUAUUAGAAAAAAUGAUUUUUAUCGAUUAAGAAAAUGACUUGGAGUCGCCACUUAUUUUUGUUUUAUUAUUAAAGGGUAAACAAAAUAAGAAAGAAAAACCCUAAGUGUGACUCCUUAUUUUGGAAAAGGCGGUCUGUGAAAAACCGGAUCGGGUUCGGGGGUCAGGUUACUUCUCGGGAAGGUAUGGUAAAGACCGUAGCACCCCUCUAAGUCCCUAAAGUCGGGUCUCUACUAAUAAAAUGAAGCUGACAUGGCAACCAAUGAGAAAGUCAAUGAAUACCUAGGACGAAUCAUGCACAUACGAGAAUUAAAACAUGCAAAUAAAAUGACUAGGAUGCGAGUGGAUGUGUACCUGGACCGUGAACGAUCAAUGCGCUAUCAUAAAACAGGGUUAGUGAGCAAUGAACAAAAUAUAAUUAAGCGCAUAACAUGGAACAAAAUAAAUCAAACACGCACGAUAAGUAAAUCAAUCAAAACAAUCAAUCAAUCGUCAAUUCACAUAUGUGGGGGCCCCACCAAAGCCCGUUUAUUUUUGCAUGAAUNNNNNNNNNNNNNNNNNNNNNNNNNNNNNNNNNNNNNNNNNNNNNNNNNNNNNNNNNNNNNNNNNNNNNNNNNNNNNNNNNNNNNNNNNNNNNNNNNNNNGGAAAAUGGGAGGUUUUAGGCCUUAAAAAUAAAUCUAAGGAUGAAAUUCGAAAGGCAAAAAUUGUUGAAAGGAUUUGGAAAUUGGCCAUUAUAAAAAAAAAACCAUUGGAGGGAUUAUUAUUAAAAGAUGUUUCAGGAAAAUUAAUUUGAAAAUCAUAGGAACAGGAAGUGGGUGAUUAACACGUGGCUUCCGAUUUACUGCCAUUGCCACUAUACCCACCAUAGUCACCAAGCCCAUAGUCAAUGCCUCCAAGUGCUCGGUAGGAAAUAGGCCCAAAACACUAAGACGUGCCCCAGAGUUAGAGAAGAUGCUGGAGAGAUCUUUGAUCAAGCCACUUCACCAGAUUUAUGGCGAUAGAUCUUUCCGAAGACAUGAAGAACGGUGACAAAGCCGAUAAAGCAAAGGUUCAACACGAGAACCACCGUUGGAGUAAUCUUCAAGCCCGGAUCGUCAUCGGUGUAGAACAAGAGCAUGUUGCUCUCGCUGCUGCCACUGCCGCACCCUCCGGAGCUCUAAAACGACAGUGCGUGUGAGGAGAUUGACAACGACACCGUCGAAGACAACCGGUCUACAUAACCCUCCAACAAGCUUCGUCCUGAAGCUACUUCCGCCGCGGUGCUUUCCACAUGUCGUCCAUACAUCCAGUGACCCGAAUCAGCGCCACCUCGUCCUCAACUCCAACGCAGCUGAAUCUCACGCUGCUGUCCAGUUUGACCUGCGUCGGAAAGAACGACGUUGGGGGCCACGCAGGCAUCGACGGUGAUCUUCGGGAGCCACUGCCCCAGGGGAAUUAUCCUUCUCCGUCCUUUUUUUGAGCCUUCAACACUUUCUACAGCAAAAGUCUCCUCAACUUUUGAUGGCCCCCACAUGUACCAGUUGAGGCUAUUUAUGAAUUUCAUGGUUCAGAUUUGCAUCCAUCUUAUCUGAUUAUUCAAUCUGUUCUAGCUUGACAACGUCCAGAUUAAGCGUCCACUUAUUGUCUUCUGAUGAGUCAAGCUAUAAUAACCAGAUUUCUUUGUCGAUGUCUAUUGAUUCGGAUACCUUCAGCACAACAGAUCAGAAAAACUUGUUGCCUCAACUAUAACCUCAGUGUAGCUGGAGGCUCAUAAUCCUGCAGCUUAUUGAAAAAAAGAUCCAGUGACUAAUCGAAAAACCUGCCCAUCAUAGGUCCGACCAGUUCUUCCUCUAAGCUACUCAACCUGAGACUUGGAGACAUAGGCAAGCUCUGGAGCUUCCUUUUUCCGAUUACUGGAAGCUCACAGAGUGACCUUCCUCAUUUCUUCAUUCUACAACAGCGAACUCUCUUUCUCAAAAGCACCCCAAUCCAAACGGCCAAAUUCAAAACAAGAUGUCCAAUACUCCAAAAGAACACCAAAAAAACAGAGAAGAAAGUGAAGAAAACAGAGUGCGUGCAAGAGAUGAUAAUACCAUUAAACCAAACUUUACUUCAUGAAGAUCGGAGAGCUUAAAACAAUCUGGUGGGUUAAGUGAAUGGUUUUAACACAUAAACAAACAACAUCGACACCAUGUGACUCACACAGGAAUAAACAAAAAUCAAGCAAGCAGGGAUGAAAACAUGCUUAAGAUCUUAAACAGUCAAAAUGAACAUUUCAAAUAUUAGGAAAGGAGUCAAAUAUGGUUGUGAAAAGGAAAAACCUGAAGUCGAAGACAACCAAAAUUUGGAUGACUCCUUUUCUCUCUGUGACUGAAAUCCCACCUUCUCGUUCUACUCCCUGAGCUGAGAACUCUCCUCUCAACUCCAAACUCACUCCAGACCAGCCUCUCUUCACUCUCCCCCUCCUCUCUGACUCUCUCUCUCUAGCUAAACUCCUCUAAGCCUUCCCUCCUCCUCAAAAUAUCUCUAACGGACUCUGAAAAGCACUCCCUACUCCAGCUGCCAGAGACGCUCCUCCAUUCACGGCUUCCAGAUUCCCAUGCAACGUGUCCCCUUUUGAUUGGCUUCCCAAACCACUAUUAUGAUUCUCUCAUGGCUUCUCAGGUGUUGACACGUGGCUGACCAAGGCUCUUCCACAUGGUAAAAUUGAGCUGCAAGGUAGGAAUGACCUAAAAGGGGGUCUACACAUGUCUUCGUAUAUCUUUAUCCAAUUUAAAUAGUUUUUAUAUAUUUAUCUUUAUCCAAUAACUUUUUCCUCCCCUAACCCAAAAUAUUUAUAAUGAUAUUCUUAAUAAUUUUUUUAUUAUAUAUAAAAAAGUCUAAUAUUACAAUAAUAUAUUAAGAGUCCUCGCUCAAUUACAAUACUUAAUUUUUUUCUAAGCAAUUAAUUCUCUAUUCCUCUGAUUUUUUUUUGCUUUUAACUACCAUUGGGCAAUUACAUUUUUAAAUACAAUUUUCAAAGUACACGUUUAUCAUAAUUAUAUCUUUAUCCAAUUUAAAUAGUUUUUAUAUAUUUAUCUUUAUCCGAUAACUUUUUCCUCCCCUAACCUAAAAUAUUUAUAAUGAUAUUCUUAACAUUUUUUUUAUUAUAUAUAAAAAAAUAUAAUAUUACAAUAAUAUAUUAAAAGUCCUCAACUCAAUUACAAUACUUGUUUUUUUUCUAAGCAAUUAAUUCUCUAUUCUUCCGAUUUUUUUUUGCUUUUAACUACCAUUGGGCAAUUACAUUUUUAAAUACAAAUUUCAAAGUACACAUUUAUCAUAAUUAUAUCUUUAUCCAAUUUAAAUAGUUUUUAUAUAUUUAUCUUUAUCCAAUAACUUUUUCCUCCCCUAACCUAAAAUAUUUAUAAUGAUAUUCUUAACAAAUUUUUUUAUUAUAUAUAAAAAAAUCUAAUAUUACAAUAAUAUAUUAAGAGUCCUCGCUUCCUUCCAAUUUUUUUUUUGCUUUUAACUACCAUUGGACAAUUACAUUUUUAAAUACGAAUUUCAAAGUACACGUUUAUCAUAAUCCUGUUAAGAAAUAUAAAGAUAUAUCUUUAUCCAAUUUAAAUAGUUUUAUAUAUUUAUCUCUAUCUGGUAAUUUUUUCCUCUCCUAAUUUAAAAUAUUUAUAAUGAUAUUCUUAACAAUUUCUUUAUUGUAUAUAAGAAAAAAUUAAUAUUAUAAUAAUAUAUCAACUGUACUCGCUCCAUUACAAUACUUAAUUGUUUUCUAAGCAAUUAAUUCUCUAUUCUUCCAAUUUUUUUUGCUUUUAACUACCAUUGGAGAAUUACGUUUUUAAAUACAAAUUUCAAAGUAUACGGUUUAUCAUAAUCUUGUUAAAAAAUACAAAACAUGUUCUUUAUCCAAUUUAAAUAGUUUUUAUAUAUUUAUCUCUAUUUGGUAAUUUUUUCCCCUCCUAAUCUAAAAUAUUUAUAAUGAUAUUCUUAACAAUUUCUUUAUUGUAUAUAAGAAAAUUUUAAUAUUAUAAUAAUAUAUCAACCGUCGCUCCAUUACAAUACUUAAUUUUUUUCUAAGCAAUUAAUUCUCCAUUCUUCCGAUUUUUUUUUUGCUUUUAACUAGCAUUGAGCAAUUACAUUUUUAAAUACAAAUUUCAAAGUAUAUGUUUAUCAUAAUCUUGUUAAGAAAUACAAAACAUGUCUUGGUAUAUCUUUAUCCACUUUAUAUAGUUUUUAUAUAUUUAUUUCUAUUUGAUAAUUUUUUCCUCUUCUAAUCUAAAAUAUUUAUAAUGAUAUUCUUAACAAUUUCUUUAUUGUAUAUAAGAAAAAUCUAAUAUUAUAAUAAUAUAUCAAAGUCCUUGCUCCAUUACAAUACUUAAUUUUUUUCUAAGCAAUUAAUUAUAUAUUCUUCCAAAUUUUCUUUUCUUUUUUUCUUUUAACUACCAUUGGACAAUUACAAUUUUAAAUACAAAUUUCAAAGUACACAUUUAUCAUAAUCCUAUUAAGAAAUACAAAACAUGUCAUAUAUGUUGUCUCUCAUUUUAAUAUUUGAUAUUAAAAUCAUAUUUAUAAUAAUUGAUUAAUAACAUGAAAAGGAUGUAUUCUAGAAGUCCUAAAAUUCAUUAUUAUCACAUAAAAUAAAUAUAAAUUUAAACUCCAAUUUUUGAAAAAUGAUAUUACAAAAUUAUGAUUUAGAGCUACGAUUGGAUGAUAAUUUUGCAAAAAUUUGUGGAGUAAGAGAUAAUUAUGAGUGUAAACAACUCGUGGAUUUGUAUUUGGAUUUGGAUUCAUCAUAUAUUUAUAUUUUUAGGGUUUUGAUAAAACCCUAAAAAUAUUUUGACUCCGAUUUAAUUAUCUUAAAUUGGUUGGACCUGAAAAUAAAUUGAGAAAUAGGCAGGAAUAGAAAAAUACAAGGCAAAGACGAGCUGUCCCAGUGGCGUGGAAAAAACUUCUUAACUUCUCUGAAUAACUGCCAAAUAUCACGAAGGCCCCAACAAACAUACUAUUAUUACGCACUUUGCUGUUGCAGAGUCGCACCUAAAUUCCUCUCAAAUUCCUGCUUCCUCCACCAAUGGCCACUCUCUCUGCCUUCUCUACUCCUUCUCCUCCAUGGCCAAAUCCUAACCCUAGCUCUGACCCUAACCCUAACGCUAAGUCAGACUUGCCUGAUCAUGAGGAGCGGUCGCAGAGAACCGAACUGGAGGAUGUCGAUUCGCCGCCGAAUUCUCGUCCUACUCAAAACUUUAACCCUAACAUCCAGGAUGGUCGUCUGUCUCCAUCGUCGGUUCCGUCUCUUCUCCACAUCUCGUUCAACCAAGACUACGGAUGCUUCGCGACGGGUACAGAUAGGGGGUUUCGCGUCUAUACGUGUGACCCCUUCCGUGAGAUAUUCCGGCGAGAUUUGGACCGCGGCGGGGGGAUUGGGGUUGUUGAAAUGCGGUUAGUGUCUAAUUUGAUGGCCUUGGUGGGCGGGGGCUCCGACCCUCAGUACCCGCUCAACAAGGUCAUGAUCUGGGACGAUUAUGAGAGUCGGUGCAUUGGCGAGCUCUCGUUUCGGUCGGAGGUUCGAGCAGUUCGUCUCCAGUUGGACCGGAUUGUGGUGGUGUUGGAGCAGAAGAUUUUCGUGUACAAUUUCGCGGACUUGAAGCUUUUGCAUCAGAUGGAGACGAUUGCGAAUCCGAAGGGGCUUUGCGCGGUUUCGCAGGUGGCUGGGUCUAUUGUGCUGGUGUGUCCCGGGUUGCAGAAGGGGCAGGUUAGGGUUGAACACUACGCGUCUAAAAGGACCAAGUUCAUCGCGGCCCAUGAAUCCAGAAUUGCGAGUUUUGCGCUCUCAAUGGACGGGCAGUUGCUUGCGACUGCAAGCUCUAAGGGGACUCUGGUCAGGAUUUACAACACAAUGGAUGGGGUAUUGCUCCAAGAGGUACGUAAUAGUUUUUCUCAUUCAGUGGAAAUUCUGAACUUUUAGUGGAUCAUAUGAAAUAGAGCAUCAAAUUUCUCGUUGAAAUGCAAUCUCUUGUUGAAUAUAGCUAUGGAUUUAUGAAAUUUGGUUGAUUUUGUGUGUGGAACUUGGUGGUUUGGAAAUUUCUUAAUUGCAUAAUUGUGGAUGCCCCGUGUAUGCCUCUCUUAGCAUGCCCUCAAAGCCUAAAUGAGAUUCUAGAACUGGGGAUUGAUAUGGUUGAAAUUUUAGUCUUCAGAAUUAUUUUCAUUUCAUAUUAUUUUGAAUUGACAUUGGUGCCUACAUUUUGAGGUGUGACAAAAUUAUCAUCACUCUUAAUUGAGCAAAUAUGUCUUCACAUGCAUAACCCAGCAUGCUGUAAUUGCUCAUAGAUCCUCUGGAAAGAUUGGGAAAUUUUACAUUGCAAUUCAAUCUGCUGCGCAAUUAAGAAACGUUAGGCUCAGUCCUUUGAAGCUGUCAAGCCAAAUAUGUCAGCUGAAUCUGGCCUAAGCUGAACCGGGAAACCUAAGUGGGUUACAGUGAAUUUACUUCUGAGGUGCCAAGUUACCAUGUUUGGGAGAGAAAAUAUGAACUAUUUGUUAGUUCCUCUACUCAUUUGUUGACUAAUUUUUUUUAUAGGUACUUUCCCCUUCUUUGGUCCCCAGUGUGGGACUUGAACUUGGAACCUCCCACAACCCCACCCCAAACCUUUAUGCUGUUGCAUUGUCCCUGCUGUACUAUUGGGUCAGAUUGCUUUUCAAAGCAGGGCCAGGAUGGACUUGCGUGAAGCCCUGGAUGCAGGCUUGCUGCACUUUGGGCUUGUCUAAAGAAAGAAAUAAAGUAGAACAAAUGUGAUCUUUAAGUAUAAGUAGCCUUAGCUCAGUGGCAACUAAACAGGUUGGAUUUUUUUUUAUCGUCAUUUCAAUUCCUUACACCUACAAUAUGAAGUAGGCAUUAUCUGGUCUCAGGCUGCACAUUGUGCUGAGGCAUGCCCAUACAAAGAUGCAGGUAGAGUUAUGGUCUGAAGAUUUGGGCUGAGUUUUUGUGUCUUCAGGCCAAUUUACAAUCACUAAACUCAUGCAGAACAAUUCAUGGAAAAGGAAACAGAGAAUCGAGGAGAGGUUAUCACUAUACUGCCUGUGUCAUUGACCAUAGGAGGUUUGUUUUGUUCUAUGUUCAUUAAACUUUGAUGACAUUUUUUGUUCUAUGUGGAAUAUCAUGAAAAUGUGGAUUUCUAAAGCAAGAUGUUAGUCUCCAUUUCGAACCAUUACCUCUAAUGCACUGUAUCUGAUCAUGGUUUUAUCACAUGUCAUCCAUGUAAUGAAUCAACUGGGCUUGUCCAGUAUUCUUGAGACAAUUGAUCUACAUAAUCUGUUGCUUAAUUAAUUUGGGGAAUCUACAUAAAUCAAUUCCUGCAUUAGGAAAUGUAAGAUUUUUCUUUUUGGUUUUUUUUUGGGGUUUUAAAGAUAAGAAUGUCUCUACAUGCUCCUUCUGGUCUUGCCAAGUGGGGAACUUUUCUUGUUUCUGCUGGGAAUCCAAAUUUACAAUUAUUUUAUCCUGAACUACUUGUAUUCAUGUUUGUUUAUGCUUUUGAGUUCAUAGCAUUGUAGAUAUAUUGCAAAUAACUGGAUAUCUAAUGCAGUUACGAAGGGGUGCUGACAGAGCAGAGAUCUAUAGUAUGGCAUUCUCUUCAACUGCACAGUGGCUGGUAGUCUCAAGUGACAAGGGCACUGUCCAUGUUUUCAGCCUUAAGGUUAAUUUAGCAUCCCCUGGGAAUGACAAGUCACGUGGUGCAUCUAAUUCCAAUCUGGCAGUAGCAUCAUCCACCUCAUCACUCUCUUUCAUCAAGGGUAAGGCACCUUUUCUUCAGUGUAUAGUUGUCUCAGUGAUAUGCAAGUUCUUACCAAAUUAGUGAUCUUGUGAAAUGAAACUCUCACUUUUUUGUCCCUCAAUACUUUUGAUUUGUGAUUUUCUGUCCCUUGUUUUUUACGCUUUUUUUAUGCAAUUGUUUUUCUUUGCUUCCCCUGCAUCUGUCAUUACUUGUUGCUUACUAGGAAGUAAUGAUGGAGAGUUGAUGAGCAAGACCCCAAGAACAAGAUGCAUUAGACAAUGUCAAUGUAUUGACUGUUGAAGGCUAAUAAUAAAUUGUGUCUUUGGCUUAGAACUUACUUGAAUUCUUACUUACAGGAGUAUUGCCCAAGUAUUUUAGCUCAGAGUGGUCAGUGGCUCAGUUUCGCUUGCCUGAAGGUUCUCAAUACAUUGUUGCUUUUGGUCACCAGAAGAAUACUGUGGUAAUUCUUGGAAUGGAUGGAAGGUAAGUGAGCACCAAGCUCAAAGAGGACAAACUUUAUGUAAUCCAAUAUAACUGCUUGUUACUUUGAAAUUUUCCUAUUGGCAUGCUCAAUUUUGACUUUUUAGAAAGUAUACACAUAUAUUCACCAGACUAUCAUCUGGGCUGUGGUUGGAGGGAAGAGUGGCUUCUACUGAACAACAAGCGUUUUUCAAGUUGCUUGUUGAUCAGGAGAGAGCUGCAGACCAUACAUCACAUGCAGUCAUCAGUCUUAGUAAGCUAUUCAUUGUAGAAACAUCUCCUUCUUUCUAGCAUAGGUUAAAACAUUGCAUCUGGAAGGUUGCAUGAGACAUUUUCUUUGACCACUAUAUUUUUAUUUCCCUGAUUCUUCUUUGCCUGCAACCCAUGUUUUUGCCUCUCUCUCUUCCCUCCAUCAGCCCAUGUUUCUUUUUCUUUUUUGUUUCACAUUCAUCAUAACGUUUUCUGUUAGAAAAGAAACUGGAAAUAAAAUUGUUGAUAUUCACUUGAAUUUGAAUGAUUGAAUGCAGCUUCUAUCGAUGUCAGUUCGAUGCAGUGAGCGGUGGAGAGAUGAUUCAGCUGGAGUACCACAACUUCCUUAAACCUGAAAAUACUAUGUAAUAGGGGCUUGGGUUACUUGUACGUUCUAUUUCUGGGCUAUGUAUAUAACAUUCCCUUUAUGGUUUUUAUCUUGCAUUUUACCCUUACCUAUGGAUGGCUACACAAAUCUAUUGUAAGUAUCUCAGUGUAGAUGGGUCACAAUCUAUAUAUACUGAUUAUAGUCAAUAUGAAAACAAAUUAAAGCAAACUUGUGUAGCAACUGUCUUCAUCCUAUUCAUAGUUUAAUUUCUUCUUUUCUGUGAGAUCUGAGUAGUGGCAUGUGAGAUAACAGCGUGUAAAGUUUCAUUCCAGCCUAGCACACUCUUCUUCAACUUCACCUUAUCUUCUCUUCUUCUUCAGUUUUGAUUUAUUUUUAAUUUAAUAAAAUAAUUGUUUAAUGUAUCAUUCAGGGUUCGGUUGUACAUUUUUUUUUUUAAAGAAAAAAAUGUUUAAGUGAGGGAAUACCAAUGGCAGAGUCCUAAAAUAGCUAGUGACAAGGCUCAGACUUCAAGUCCUCUGUGCUUCCCCAUGCCUUUUAUUUCCCUUUGUAUAUUGGAAAUAUAGCCCCCAAAAAAUCAAAUAUUAAAUGAGGAAGAUAAGAAAGAUGACUUAUCGUAGUAACACAAUGUGACAGAAGGAACUAGUAAAAUAUAAAUUUACUAACUAAAUAAACUAGAUGCCAUGUGUCAAAAAAAUAUUAUAGAUUUUGAAAUUGUUUAUCAGAGAUCUCAUUUCAAAAAAAAAAUUUUUUUUAAGUUAGUGAAUUUCUUCUUUUUUGCAUUUUUUUUUCUUUUUUUUUUUUUAUAAAAAAAAUCCCUCAUUUUUUGCCCUUGGAACUUCAAUCUUGCUUGGUUAGCUUAAUUCAAUGGUUUAGGGGUCAGAAAGAGGUGGUGACCAACCUGCAAAUACCACCCAACAAUGCAAUUAUGCAAGAAGAAGGGUCUGAAAGCCUGAAAGCUUGUUUGAUGAUAAACCCCAAAAAAGCUUUGGAAUACAAAGAGUGUUGGGGACAAGAAAUGAGAACGCAUCUCAAGAUGAAAUCUAAGGUCUCCAAAUUUGGUGCACUGAAAACUGUGAUUUUGACUGACUCACCUCUGACUUUUCUUUCUGCAGCAGCUUUGCCCCCAUCCACCCACCCACCCACAUGCCUACCUCCAUCGUCACACCCCACACACCCCCCCUCUAUACACCAUUUUCAUCACGCAAUCAUAGCUUCUUUUCCUUCCCUGAUAUCCCACAAUCAUCAGAUUCAUCACUCUACCUUGGACCACACACCCCUCCCAAGUAAUACAACUUUUUUUUCCCUUUUUACCCCUAUGAAUAGUCAAAGAAUUUAAUUGUAUGUCACAGACUCACAAUCAGCCAUACAGCUCCAAUGUUUCAGAGAGAAAGAAAAAAAAAAAAAAAAAAAGUACAUGGGUGGAGUGUAGCAUUGGGCCUCUUACAUAGACCAUGUGAUACUGAGUCAUAUUUACCUGACCAAAUGUAUAAAAUAAUUAACAAUCCAGAUUCACAUGGCAUAUAUAGAAAUGAAAAUGGCCCCAUUCAUAAUGUUCCUCUGAAAUUUCAUGAUACCAAUGGUGGGUCAAUAUCUGACCACUAAUUGGGGAUUUAAAACUAAUCUUCUGCCAUUAAUUUACAUCUCCAAUGAAUAAACAACUCUCAUUUUAUCAAAAAGUUUUAUUAUAUCAACUCGAAUAAUUAAAAUCCAUCAACUCUAAAUUAUUUUUUUUUAAAAGAAAAAUAAUUUGAGUGUAUGAAAUUAUUUUUUUAAAUUACAAAUUGAAUUGGUAAUUUACCAAUUCAUUUCCAUUAUAGUUAUGAAUAAAUCAUUUCGUAUACCACUAAAUAAACCCAUGAUCUAAGCCUUGAUUUAAAAAAAAAAAAUUCUAAAGUUGGUAGUGUAUACACAUUCAAAUAUAAUCUAUAUUUUUUUUUUACUUUGAUGCAAUUUAAGAAACAAUUUUUUUUUUCCAAAUAUCAAAACUAUUUUUAUUUUUCAUAAUCUAUAUUUUAAAUUAAUUAAGACUUUAAUUAUAAUUAUUUUUGAAAGUUGAUUCUUCUUUCUUUUUCGCAAAGCUCACAAGAGCAUAUAAUUUGAAAAAUAGAAAAAAUAAAAAAGAAGAAGAAAAACAAGGAAUGUUCUUAAUGAAUUUGUGUAGAAAAUUAUUUUAUAUUCAAUAAAAUUUUAAAAAUACUAAAAUAUUUAAACUUUGUUUCCAACUUCUAAAAAAAAUAAAAGAUGUGAUUACAACAUUGAAAAAUGCUUUCUCGAUUUCUAUUGAAAAAAUAGUAUGAAUUAAAUGGUGUCAAAUAUAUAUUUUUAUGUAUUCUUAUUUAAUCUAAGUCCAUAUUUUUUUGUUCAAUAUUAAGCUACAUUACCUUUUCAUUGUCCAAAAAUUAUUGCAAGCAAGAAUAGUAUUUACCUGUGCCUUUUCUUCUUCAUGAAUUCAAUGUGAACAGUAGAGAAGUCCUUUCUAAAGGAGCGGGGCAAGUUGAUUGAAACAAGAGAAUCGAGGUGGACAGCAACUACACGAAACACCACUGCAUAAGAAGCCAACAAACUAGUAUAUAAAGCCCACCAUACCCUCUUCAUUUGCAGUACCACCUCACCAUCCUCCAUUCAUAUUGCCCAUUUUCACCCACCUCUUUCUCUCUCUUUUUCUAUUUUUUCUCACCUACCCUCCUUCUCUUUCUCUCUGCCUCUCAGUUUCUCAGUCUUUCAAUGGCGCUCAAGCUCCAUGGAAUUCCCAUGUCCACAUGCACCACUCGUGUCCUCACCUGUCUCCAUGAGAAAGGCUUGGAUUUUGAGCUUGUCCCUGUUAAUCUCUUUGCAGGUGAACAUAAGCAGCCUCCUUUUCUUGCCAAGAAUGUGAGUCUCACUUCCCUCUUUCUUUCUAAUCAUCCCUCUUUAUUCUCUUUGAAGAUUUUACUUUUCUUUGGGGUUGUAUAAAUUAUGAUUUUCCUUGGUUUGGGUACAUUGUUUUUAGUGUGCAGUCUUGUCGAUUUGAUUUUGGUCUUGGUUUUGUUAUACAUAUAUGCAGCCCUUUGGACAGAUUCCAGUUCUGGAAGAUGGCGAUCUCACUCUUUUUGGUAAGUCCUCGGUUUUAAUCACUUUCCUCAUAAAAGCUUGAAAUUUGUUGUACUGUACUACCAUCAGGAUUGACAGUUCCUGAGAUUUAUUAGCUGCUUGCUUUUGAACAAAAUUUUGCUUUAAAAAAUUAAAGGAGUUUUUCUUACAAAAUCAUGCUAUUUAGUACAACAUACGAGCUGGGUCUAUGAUACUAUUAAGUAUACUAUUGCCCCAGCCUUACUGAAAAUCCCUAGUCGAUGAAGUUGGGUUACUGAAAUUAUGUAUAUGUACCAGAAUCUAGGGCAAUAACAGCAUAUUUGGCCGAGAAAUACAAGGAAACGGGGUGUGAUCUCUUGAGGCACAAUGACCUCAAAGAAGCUGCAUUGGUGAAGGUGUGGUUGGAGGUUGAAUCCCAACAAUAUCAUCCGGCAAUAUACCAGAUUGUGUACCAGUUCUUCGUGUUGCCUCUACAAGGCAAGACGGCCGAUCAGGCCAUUAUUGAUGUAAAUCUGGAGAAGUUGGGUAAGGUUCUGGAUGUGUAUGAGGCCAGGCUGGGCACCACAAAGUGCCUAGCAGGAGAUUUCUACAGCUUGGCUGAUCUUCACCACCUUUCUUACACUUACUAUUUCAUGAAGACGCCAUGGGCUUCCCUCAUAAACAGCCGUCCCAAUGUGAAGGCAUGGUGGGAGGACAUUUCCUCAAGGCCAGCUUUCAAGAAAGUGGCUGAAGGCAUGACUUUUGGUGAGAAGUGAUCGGUUUCUGAGCAGUGUGGCUCUAUGUUUUGGGGUAAUAUUAAUUGUAGUGGUUGCUGCCUCUUAAUUACGUGUAUUUAAGUGUGAGACCACGUAAUAAUUACUGAUUAUGUGUUAUGAUUUGCCCUAAAUUAAUCAGAAAUGUGGAAUUAUCUGGGGUUUCUCAUUGUGGUAAUUAAUCUGCUUGCAACCAGUUUUUGAAAGGGUUUGAUGCAUUUUUACUCCAUACUUUGCUUUAGCUAGGGUUAUGUUGGUGUCUCUAAGGCAUAAUGCUUCCAUUUUUGAGUCAUUGCAUACUCAGAUCAAAGUUUUCAAGACUUGUAGAAAAUGGGUUUUGGUAUUUUCAUGAAAGAGAAUGAAAGGGCAAAUUUCUUCACAAGGCAUGUAGUAAGGGUUUUCCCUUUCAAUCAGUCUUUUUCCUGAGAAACAAACAGAAUGUAUAUCAUGCCGUGUCAUCCACUGUGACAGUUUUCCUCUGAAGAGUUUUACUGCAGUACUUCCUAUUUAUUCCCAUUUUUACUUCCCAAACGAGGUAAACACGUACUGUACUGCAGCUCUGGUUAUUUUCAUCAUCCUUGCUUGUCCAAAGCAGCUUCACUCUUUGAACCUAUUUUUAUUGUUAUAUAUAUAUAUAUAUUAGGUCAAAUUAAUCUUCCAAUUUUCUAACUCUAAGCCCUUGCAAAGAGUUUUUGUAGUAUCAUAUGUAUCUACUAUCAGUCAAGCAGAAACUGGAUAAUGUUCUAUAUACGCUUCAAUAAUUAUGGAUCCAGCAAAGGAGAUCUUUUGUUAUGCUACGGGUCUCUACUAAAAUCUGAGGCUGGAACCCACUUCAAUUAUUCACUCAUUUUGUUCUCAUAGAACCUUCAGCCAUGUGACCCUCACCCUCCAACUAACUUUCAACCACAUCUACCACCUUUCUUUCCUUUUUAUUUUUAUUUUUUAGUUUUGACCUAAUUCCAUCUAACUCUCAAAAUGUAUUCUAAAUCAUGCAUCACAGUCUCAAAAUAUAUGUAGGCCCUUCUCUCUAGAUUCUUGAUUCUAUAGUCUUGUACAACCCAAAUUUCUUAGACUCUAGUCUGAAUAAGCUUGAUAGACAUGAUUGUGCUUAUUAUUUAAUAAUUUAAGUUUUUCUUAUAGUAAUUAAUAGUUUAAUAUGAUAUAAUAAAAUUUCUUAUCUUAAUUAAUUUGUAAAAUUAUCUAGAUGAGAUAAAUAGAUAGUCCUAAUUUUUAACUCCAAAAAUUGAUUUUUUUUCUCAAUUAUAAAUUUUCUUAAUCCAAUGCGAGAUUCAAAUAUCAAAAUAAUAGCUAGUUUCAUAAGACACUUGAUGUAUGUGGAAAACCAUCAACAAUCAUGGGUUUGCAAAACAAAGUAAUUACUAAAUCUAAAAGAAUAAGUACACAAUUUUUAUCAAAAUUUGAUACUAUCUUCUCCCAAGGGUCUUAUGUUGGCACAUAUUUACACUUGUUUUCAUGUUUGAGAUGCAACACCUUAUACCCUUUAGGAAACUCCUCAACUACUUGAUAACAUAUAAUCAACCAUUAUGAUUUGAUCUCAAAUAAGAGUUAAGCGAUUGAAAAUGUAUGUGUAGUGAGUUUGAAAUGAGAAUGAUAGAGAAAUUGAACUUUUUCAUUAGACUUUAAAUGAAGCCAUUAAGGAAGAGAUCCACUCCCAAGAUUAAUUCAAGAUGGGGAUAUAAAAAUGGUAUCUUACCAUAAUGACGUCAUCCAUCAAACUUUAUAUGAAGAAGAUAAAUCCAUUGGUUGAACUCUUUAUAGAGGAAUAAUUGACUCUUUAUCAUUAAACAAUAUAUGUUUGUUUUCAACUUGCAAAGAAUCUUAUUCUAGUGCUAUUAAAAAAAUUCUUAAAUAUUUAAAAAGAAUAAUUAAACUAUGUUUGUGAUAUCAUGCAUACUAACUUUGAUCUAAUUAACUAAUUAAAAGUGGAUUUUCCGUUUGUAAAAGUAAUGGAAAUGUAUUAGUGGUACUUAUAAUGUUUGUUUUCAAUCUUACAAAGAAUCUUAUUUUAGUGCUAUUAAAAAUAUUCUUAAAUAUUUAAAAAGAAUAAUUAAACCACGUUUGUGGUAUCAUGCAUACUAACUUUGAUCUAAUUAACUAAUUAAAAAUGGGUUGUUCCAUUUGUAAAAGUAAUGGAAACGUAUUAGUGGUACUUCUAACUUUCUAGGCCACUCACUAGGUUUUGACAUAGUGAUCGAACCUUUGAUCAAUUGAGUUGUCGUGUGCGAUAUAUUUCAUAAUGACUAAUUGAUGCAUGGUGGUUUAGACUUAGUCUUAAUUGGUUGAGGACUUGUUGAUCAGAUGUUAAUCGAUUAAGGUUCUUGCACCUUAAUGAUUACCUCCAAGUGUACUUUUAUUUAAUAGCAUGUUUCUUAGUCCAUCGCCUAAUCCACUAAUUCAGCUAAAAAUGUGCCUAAGGGCUAGUUUCACUCUAGAACUCUUAUUUAAAACUUUCCAACCUUGAGCAAUCAUUGUAGCAAUUUAUUGAAUGGUUCUCUAGAAUACUCUUAUUCCCAAACUCGCAAGUCUCAUUUAGUCUACCUUAAUCUUAGUUUAUUUAUAUAUUUGAUCCUGAAUUUUGCAAACUAGAAAGCUUACUUUAAGAAAUUCACUCUUGUAUUCAUGAAAGAGUAUACUGAAAUGUAAGGGAUCACUUGAGGGCAUUGCAAAGGCAUAUUGGAAGCUUAAAUAUAAGUGUAAAAAAAUUAAAAGCAAAAUCUUAGCACUAGUGAAUGGACCUCAAGCUUAGAUUGAUGAAAGAGAGAGUGGAUAUAGGAGUUAUAGAACCAUUAUAAGUACUUUAUUGCAUCACUCUAUCCCUAUCUCUAUUAAUUUACUUGCACUAUAUUAAUUUUUAUAAUUUGCUUUUUAAUUUUCUAAAUUUUGCAAAAGAACUAACACCGAAUUCUCCUCCCCUCUUGGGUGUCUUCCUCAAGUGAACUCAACUAAUUUGCUUUUCAAUUUUCUAAAAUCAUGAAUCAAUGUAUCAUAAAGCAAAUCCACUAAUUUAAAAAGAAUUAAUACACGGUUUUACCUUAACCAUAUGUUAUCUUCCCCUAAUAAUCUUACACCAAUCAACACAUCCAUUUGUUUUCACGUUUGCAAUGCAAUAUAUGCUCCUUAGUAAACUCCUUAGCAAUUUGAGAUAAUACAAUCAACCAUCAUAAUUUAUCCUUUAAUUAAAGUUAAGUUUUCAGGAAUAUUGGAAACACACAUGAGAAUAACGACAAUUAUUUUCGAGAGCAUGUUGUUUUUUCAAUAUAAGGAGAAAAUCUUACUAAGUCUAUCCAAAUACAUUAAUUGAAAAAAAUAUAGAAUUAGAAAAUCAUGAAAAAAAAAAAACAAAUGGGUCCAAGGUAAACCGAUGUACUCCAUUUUGUCAUGAAUAUUCACUAAAAAUUACUCAACCGUACACAAGCUUGACACACAACAUUUCCCCACUACGUAAUAGCCAUUAAAUCAAAUGAAAAAUAAAAUCUCCAACGUUAAAUUAAGUUGACACCGUGUGCAUCCCUGGUUUCAUAAUGCAGAGUGAGAUGAAACAGAAUCGAUGCACAAGUACUGGGAAAUAAAAUUACCCAUCACGAGUCUAGAAAAUGGGUUCUGAUAUUUUCACAUAAGACAAUGUUGGAGGAUUCUAGGAAAAGAAAGAGAAUGCGGGAAAGGGAAAAUUCUUCACAUGCCUACAGCAUUUACGGCAUAAAGAACGUUUUCUUUCUCAAAGCAUGUGAUCUUUUUCCUGAGAACCAAACAGAUGGCAAAAGCAAGUUCCUGCUUGUCCAAAAAAACCCUGUACUCAUUGGACUAACAAAGCCUGAAUUAAAUAUGGGCCAUUUCGUACCUUCACCAUGGCCCAUUUCUUGUGAUGUUCUUUUGAAUAAAUUUAAGAAAUUACUGUUAGAAAUCAAAUAGAUUGAAUAAAUAUUUUAAUUUAUAAAAAAAUCAUCUUAAAUAAAUAACAAAUAAUAAAUAGGAGAAGGAAAAGAGAAAGUACGUAUAUUUGCAAUGUUACAUUACCUCACCUUAUCGUUUUCCAAAACUUAUAGUAAGCAAGAAUUGGAUUUACUUCUGCCUUCUAUUCUUCAUCAAUACAAUAUGAACGGUAGAGAAGUCCCUUGUUCUAAAGGAGCCGGGCAAGUCGAUUGAAACAAGCGAAUCGAGGUGGCCUGCAACUACCCUAAACAACACUGCAUAAGAAGCCAACAAACUAGUAUAUAACGCCCACCAUACCCUCUUCAUUUUCAGUACCACCUCACCAUCCUCCAUUCAUAUCGCCCAUUUUCACCCACCUCUUUCUCUCUCUCUCUCUCUCUCUCACUCUCUCAGUUUCUCAGUCUUUCAAUGGCGCUCAAGCUCCAUGGAAUUCCCAUGUCCACUUGCACCACUCGUGUCCUCACCUGUCUCCAUGAGAAAGGCUUGGAUUUUGAGCUUGUCCCUGUUAAUCUCUUUGCAGGUGAACAUAAGCAGCCUCCUUUUCUUGCCAAGAAUGUGAGUCUCACUUUCUUCUUUCUUUCUAAUCAUCUCUCUUUCUUCUCUCUGUAGAUUUUGCUUUCUUUGGGGUUGUAUAAAUUAUGAUUUUCCUUGGUUUGGGUACAUUGUUUUUAAUGUACAGUCUCGUCGAUUUGAUUUUGGUCUUGGUUUUGUUAUACAUAUAUGCAGCCC
rnacentral:lncRNA from 1 species